AUGAAGCUGGGUGGCCUCUGCCUCCUGCUCCUCCUCGCCGUCCUUCUCACCCUCAAUGCAGAGUUCCAAGCAGUUGAUGUAGGUAUCUGUGUGACGGAGUGCAAGGUAGACCAGGACUGUGGGGCAGGAAGACGAUGCACCAGCAAUGGAUGUGGCCGGGUCUGCUCCCCAGUCCGGCGAAGAGAGGCCUGCGAGCACCAGUGCAGAGAAGACAGGGACUGUGGGAGUGGACAUCAGUGCGUGAGGAAGGGCUGUGGGCACGUCUGCGCCCCCGUCCAUCAAGUCGAUGUAGGUAUCUGUGUGAUGGAGUGCCGUGUAGACCAGGACUGUGGGGAAGGAAGACUAUGCAUCAGUAAUGGGUGUGGCCGUGUCUGCUUCCCAGUCCGGCGAAGAGAGGCCUGCGAGCACCAGUGCAGAGAAGACAGGGACUGUGGGAGUGGACAUCAGUGCGUGAGGAAGGGCUGUGGGCACGUCUGCGCCCCCGUCCAUCAAGUCGAUGUAGGUAUCUGUGUGACGGAGUGCCGUGUAGACCAGGACUGUGGGGAAGGAAGACAAUGCACCAGCAAUGGAUGUGGCCGUGUCUGCUCCCCAGCCCAGCAAAGAGAGGCCUGCGAGCACCAAUGCAGAGAAGACAAGGACUGUGGGAGUGGACAUCAGUGCGUGAGGAAGGGCUGUGGGCACGUCUGCUCCCCCAUCCCUCAAGUAGGUGAGUCUGGACUUUCUGUAGAGUGAAAUGGACUUGAGCUUUCAAGGCAAAUGUCCUUGGAUUCAAAUCCCAACUCUGCUGUUGACCAGACAGCCCCUUCAUGUCCUCAAUCUAUGAAAUACAAAAUAAGAAAACUUACCAGUUAAAGCCCAUUUUGGUUACCAUUAACCUGCUUUCUUUGCAG
rnacentral:lncRNA from 1 species